rnacentral:piRNA from 1 species
UGUCCAUGUUGUACACCUACUGGGUUGC